AUGAAAAGGUAACUCCACCAACACUGAGCCCAUUAGGGGAGCAAGAAAAUAUAUGGAUCCACUAGAGUAUUGCGGCUGGAUAGUAAUGCUGUCAUCUAUCUUCAAAUAUUUCAUUAUUCAGCUUCAACAUAACAAGGACGUUGCAGACAAAAAGCCUUUUCUGUGACGCCGACUGGAGGGGAGGUUGGAAGCUGGUCGGUUCACUGGAGCAUAAAACCCAGCGAGGGAACCAACAGGCCAGUCACUGUCUGUGCUCAAGCUACCACAUAGUUUUAAUGAUGGAGAAGAGAAGGGAGUGAAAACGCUUUCAUCAGCCUCUCCACAAACUGUUUAAUCUGCAUGGACUCUCCUGGCCAUCCCGCUCAUCGCUCCUCCUUUUCCUUUCCUCCCUUUUCAUUCUCCGUCCACGAUUUGGUUCUGUUGACCUCAAACUACCUCUCAUCAUCUGCACUCACGCAUCUCUUUGUUCUUGUCCACUUUGUCCUUAUUUUCACUUCACUCCCCUCUUACUGUGUACAUAUAAUAAAAGAAGAGAUAAGUAGUUCAAAAGGGUUUUAAAUAAUCUUCUCUCACACAUUUCUUUGUUUUUGUCCACACUGUCUUUAUUUUUACUCCUCUAUCGCUGUGUACAGAUAAUAAAAGGGAUGAGGUAAAUAGCAUAAAAGGGAUUUUCAAUAGUUUCAUGUGUUGAUUCUGUAUAAAAGAAUUAACAAUACUGUUCAGCCUUGGCAAGUGCAUGGAUUAGUUCACCUUUGUUAGGUUUCAUUGUGUGUUUCUGCUUUUUCCAAGCACAUGUCAAUAUGAGGGAUCACCUUCCCCCUCUUAUAGACUAAGGUUGUGGCCUGUGUGAUAUCACCAGACCUCUGCAGCCCCUCCAGACAUCCUCUCCUAAUGGUGCAACUGGGGUUCAACAUCAUGCACCUCCUCAGCCCUCUGAAGAAUCCCAUAUUGACUUUAACAGAUCAAAGAAUCAGUGGAGUAGGGUUACUUAAAUUGCCAGGUUUUGGCUUCAUCUCUGUUUGGUCUGAUUAGGACCAGUCUUUCCUACACAUGGCGUGCCUGUGGAAGGGGGCAUUGGAGGGAAACCAGAGACCACUGGUUGCUAGGAAACCAGUGAGCGGAGGGGAGUUGUAGCUAACAAUGAUGUUGUAAAUUAUGUGCAGUGGGGACCAAUCGAAAGCCCUGUUUCAGAGCUGAGAGAAGAAGUAGCCAAUAAGAGCAGAGUGUUAAUAAACCCACCUACAGGGCGACAGAUAAAUCUCCAUUAAUAGCCAGUGUACUGUAACUAUGACUGGAAGCUCAUGUUUUGUAUGUGCCUGCAUGGCCAACUGCUACAAGAUCAAGGUUGAAACAGAAAGCUUGUCUUCUGCACACAAACAACAUAAUCUACCAAACACAGAGGAGCUCCAGAAGAGAAGUCCCAGUAAGAUAAGAAUGGAAAUGGUGUAUGAUAUUUUUCUAGGUUAAUAAAUACUUCAAAGCCCCGAGAAGGAACAGAUUUUUACUGCAGAGAGCACAAGCUUUCCUAAGACACCAGGCUGUGAGUGAUUAUAUGUGGAGCUACAAUGGUACAACUCCCAUCAUCCAAAACCAAUAAUAAACUUCAUUUUAAACU